rnacentral:rRNA from 1 species
AUUGAACGCUGGCGGCAGGCUUAACACAUGCAAGUCGAGCGGGGGAAGGUAGCUUGCUACCGGACCUAGCGGCGGACGGGUGAGUAAUGCUUAGGAAUCUGCCUAUUAGUGGGGGACAACAUCUCGAAAGGGAUGCUAAUACCGCAUACGUCCUACGGGAGAAAGCAGGGGAUCUUCGGACCUUGCGCUAAUAGAUGAGCCUAAGUCGGAUUAGCUAGUUGGUGGGGUAAAGGCCUACCAAGGCGACGAUCUGUAGCGGGUCUGAGAGGAUGAUCCGCCAAACUGGGACUGAGACGCGGCCCAGACUCCUACGGGAGGCAGCAGUGGGGAAUAUUGGACAAUGGGGGGAACCCUGAUCCAGCCAUGCCGCGUGUGUGAAGAAGGCCUUAUGAUUGUAAAGCACUUUAAGCGAGGAGGAGGCUACUUUAGUUAAUACCUAGAGAUAGUGGACGUUACACGCAGAAUAAGCACCGGCUAACUCUGUGCCAGCCGCCGCCGUAA